CGAAUUGUAGCUUUUGAGAGAGCGUUUUAUUUACACUAAAAAGGAUGACUGUGCGAUUCAGUUCAAUUUGA
rnacentral:tRNA from 1 species